rnacentral:lncRNA from 1 species
GACUUAUGUUGCAUAGAAUUAAAACCCUCCCCAGAGUUCAUAGUUUUAAACAAAUAUGCAUACAUAUCCAAAUACAUAUUAAAUCCAAAGCAAACAAUAACUUUAUGUUGACAGUGAAAAAUGCAACCUUACAUACAUAGUCUACAAAACAACUGAAAAAUUUUAAAUGCCAGAUAUGAGGAAGCCAAAGAAUUUUAACAAUGAGAAAUAUGUUAUGAAUUAAAAUAUUCAAUCUUGAAAACCUUUAAAAGUGAAAGUUGCACUGUAACUGCUUUCUAAGGUAAUUUUUGCCACUUUUAGGAAAAAAGAUGUUUACGUAACAUUUUUAAAAGUACAAUCAUUUCUUACAUAGCUUUAUGAUUGAGGAUAACAUUAGUAUGCACAUACAACAUAACACACAAAAGCAAAGCUUAGAAUAACAUUUUAAUUAUGUUUUAGUGUAUGUGAAAUAAUUUGUUUUUCUCAAUUAUAUUCCUGGGUCAAGGCCUAAAACAUUUAUUUGAACCAGCUAUAUAUCUUAUUUUCAUAAGGGUCUCAGGAGGCAGUAGUCAUAUGUUGUUACUUCAGCCCUCCACAAAGGCAAUACAGUACAGAUCUCUGUACUGUAAACGACAACAAGGACCAGUCACAAUUUCAGUUCUUGUUACAUUGAUAAGACUCCUUCAGAAAGCAAUGAAGAGAAAAGCUGAAGUCAGUGAUUAGGAGUGUCUGUGUAAGUAAAAGCAACAGGCAAUUACUGAGUGUGGUGUGAGAGGCACGGAAAGAUUGGGAAUUCAGCAAGAAGAGGAAUUGAAGUCAAACCUCACCUACUUCCCAGAGUCUUCUGGAUUUUCUGUUAGAAGCUUCAGUAUCUGAGAUAUUCCUAUGCAUUCUACUGCUUUAAUCCCACCUAAGUAGAGAUGUCCACAACAGAGAGAAUGGAGCUGUCACAUCGUUUCAACUGCCCAGGUAGUUCCUACUGGAUGAAUGGGAUUGUCACCUUCACACCUGCUAGAGGCUUGGAGCAUGCAAGAGUUUUUUUAAAUGGCUUCACCUUUCUUAUGAAAAUGCAACCACUAGUACUCUUCCAAUAAAAGCUUUUCUCAAGUGAAAGGACUCAGGCAACAAAUAAACAGCUAAGAUUUUACUAGAGUAUGAAAGGGAGAGCACUGGAGUGCAGUGCGGGGAUGGAGAUGCAGCUGUGGUGGCUGGAAGUACAGGAGGGCAGCUGGAGGCACCUGGCCUCUGAAGCCUGUCUUCUUCAUCUGGGUGAGAUCUGCUGGAGUCAGGAAGGACUUCCUGCUGCAAGGAUAAAGGUAAGCAGAAGAUCUCCACCAGUGCCCACUGCCAUCACAAACACCUACAAUCCUUAUAGCAGGUGAAUCCAGCAGUCCUCACAAGUCCUGAGACAGGUUUGGAGUCUUGCUGGGAAUUCACACAGCUGCAUUGUCCUAGAUUAGGAGAACAAGGUGUGGACCCCCAACCCUCUAUUCAUCCCCUGUGAGCCAUGGUGCUAUAGCAUGGCACCAUACUGAGACCAGAGCUACUUCUGCAGUGUGCCCUGCUCUGAGGGCCAGUAGCCACUUCACCUCUCCAGCACUUGGGCUCCAUCUUCAUUCCACCAAGCCCAUAUGGGAAGCUGAACACCUCAAUCCCAGAUUCGUAAAGCAUGGGCCAAGGAUGGGCUGUGGCUCUGGUCCUGUUCUGUUCAGGGUGAACCUGCCCUUGAGCUGGCCAAACUGCUGCAUACCCUCCCCAAAGCAGGAGAGGCCCCCAAGCCUGUGAGCAGCUGAUAUGCUCCAGGGCCAGUGAAGUGGCUAUGUGCUUGCACCCAGGAACUGAGAAACAGUCCCACAGCACACCUGCACCCUCCAGAGAGAGCCCUGGCCUGCCCCAGUGGCCCUGUAUCCCCAUUCAGGGCCUGAGAAACAAUUCCUCAGGCCACUCUUGGCAGGUAUGAUACUAAGCUGACCAAAUAGCCAAAAACACCUAUCCCAGACCUGAGUAUCAGCCCUGUGGGCCAAUCCAGGUGGACAUGCCCCAGGCUGGCCAAGCAGCCAUGUACCCACAUUCCGGGCCUGAGAAACAGUUUUUUGGGCUGCUGUUGGUGAGGACACCCCUGAGCCAACCAAGCAUCCUUGCAAUUGUGUUUCAGACCUAAGAAGCAUCAUGACCUGAGAAACAGUUUCACAGGCCACUCUUGGCAGGUAUGAUCCCAGGCUGGCCAUACAGCCAAAAGCCCACAUCCUACAUCUGAGUAACAGCCCAGGCUGACAUGACCCCAGGGCAGACAUGACCCCAGGCUGGCUGCCUAUUGAGUAAUUUCUUACGUUUUGCCUCCUCACAAAUGAAAUGCUAUCAUUUGUGAAAAUAUAAAUAGAAUUGGAGGAUAUUAUGUUAAGUGAAAUAAACCAUGAACAGAAAGUUAAACACUACAUGUUCUCAUUCAUAUUUGGAAGGUAAGAAAACGUUGAACUCAUAGAAGUAAAAUAGAACAGAGGAUACCUGAUGCUGGGAAAACUUGGGGGAAGGGAAGGAUAGGAAGGGAUUUGUUAAAGAAUAUAAAAGUUAAACUGGAUGAAAGGAAGUUCUUGUGUUCUCUACCACUGUAGGAUGACUAUAGUUAACAAUAAUAUAUCAUGUAGUUUAAAUAGCUAGAAGGAGGAUAUUGAAUGUUCCUAAUACAAAGAAAUGAUAAAAAUUUGAGAUGAUGGAUAUGCUAAUUAUGCUGAUCUGAUCACUGUCUAUUUAUCAACACCUCAUUAUAUAUCCUAAGAAUAUGUACAAUAACUAUUUGUCAAUCUAAAAAAUUAGAUAAAAAUUGUUUUGUCUUUUCUGGGUACUUUACAUGUUCAUAUAUAUUUUUGAGUCAGCUUGUCAAUUUCUACAACAAAAGCUUGUUGGGAUUUUGAUUGAGAUUAUGCUGAAUUUAUAACUUGUGAAGAAUUGAUUUCUUUACAAUAUUGGACCUUCCAAUACAUGAACAUAGUAUAUGUCUCCAUUUGUUUAGGUGUUCUUUAAUUUUUUUAAACAAUGUUUUGAAAUUUCCAGGAUUUUUCACUGAUUUAGUUAAAUUGAUCCUUAAAUAUUUAGCUUUUGAUGCUGUUAUUUUUAUUGAAAAUUUCUAAUUGUUACAUUCUAAUACAUGAAAACAGUAUAUAUCGUGAA